GAGGAAGCCCGGUGCGAAUCCGGCGCGGUCCCGCCACUGUGAGCCCGGCCCUCAGAAGCCGGGCGAGUCAGGAACUC
rnacentral:ncRNA from 2 species